GAAGGCGACUGGCAUGUGAGUCACUUUACCACAGUUGAGAUCCCAUGCUUUCCCAUCUUUGCAUUGGCACACAGUACUGCAAGAGGUACCUGAAAAUGCAUUGUCCAAUUCCUUUUGAUGGGGUGGGAUCCAGAGUGUCAUGCUUCAAGAGGACACAGAGCAAAGACAAACCAUCUAUUCACAAUCUUGCUUGGACCUCAUGAGCAAAAAUGGCU
rnacentral:lncRNA from 1 species